AAUCAACGCUGGCGGCGUGCCUAACACAUGCAAGUCGAACGCGAAAGCCCCUUCGGGGGUAAGUAGAGUGGCGUCCGGGUGAGUAACACGUAGGUAAUCUACCUUCGGGUGGGGAAUAACUCGCCGAAAGGCGAGCUAAUACCGCAUAAUGCAGCGGCACCUAAUGGUGAUUAGUUGUUAAAGCGGGGGAUCGUAAGACCUCGCGCCUGAAGAGGAGCCUGCGGCAGAUUAGCUAGUUGGGAGGUA
rnacentral:rRNA from 1 species